GACGAACGCUGGCGGCGUGCCUAAUACAUGCAAGUUGAGCGCUGAAGGUUGGUACUUGUACCAACUGGAUGAGCAGCGAACGGGUGAGUAACGCGUGGGGAAUCUGCCUUUGAGCGGGGGACAACAUUUGGAAACGAAUGCUAAUACCGCAUAAAAACUUUAAACACAAGUUUUAAGUUUGAAAGAUGCAAUUGCAUCACUCAAAGAUGAUCCCGCGUUGUAUUAGCUAGUUGGUGAGGUAAAGGCUCACCAAGGCGAUGAUACAUAGCCGACCUGAGAGGGUGAUCGGCCACAUUGGGACUGAGACACGGCCCAAACUCCUACGGGAGGCAGCAGUAGGGAAUCUUCGGCAAUGGACGAAAGUCUGACCGAGCAACGCCGCGUGAGUGAAGAAGGUUUUCGGAUCGUAAAACUCUGUUGGUAGAGAAGAACGUUGGUGAGAGUGGAAAGCUCAUCAAGUGACGGUAACGACCCAGAAAGGGACGGCUAACUACGU
rnacentral:rRNA from 1 species